GCGGGCGGCGUGCUCGAAAAUGUUAAAGUUCUUAUUUCAUGGUAUAACUUUGGUAUGCUUGGACCUAGAGUCUUCAAACUUGACAUGAAGGUUGGCCAGGAUUAACAGAUGACCACUGGUCAUUUCAAGGUCAUUCAUUUGAAGGUCAAGGUCACUGUGACCUUCAAUAUAAAAAAAUGUUAAAGUUGUUAUAACUUUGGUAUGCUUGGACCUAGAGUCUUGAAACUUGACAUGAAGGUUGGCCAUAACUAGUUAGUAACCACUGGUCAUUUCAAGGUCAUUCAUUUGAAGGUCAAGGUCACUGUGACCUUGAAUGUAAAAAUGUUAAAGUUCUUAUUUCAUGGUAUAACUUUGGUAUGCUUGGACCUAGAGUCUUCAAACUUGACAUGAAGGUUGGCCAGGAUUAACAGAUGACCACUGGUCAUUUCAAGGUCAUUCAUUUGAAGGUGAAGGUCACUGUGACCUUCAAUAUAAAAAUGUUAAAGUUGUUAUAACUUUGGUAUGCUUGGACCUAGAGUCUUGAAACUUGACAUGAAGGUUGGCCAGAACUAGUAAGUAACCGAUGGACAUUUCAAGGUCAUUCAUUUGAAGGUCAAGGUCACUGUGACCUUGAAUGUAAAAAUGUUAAAGUUGUUAUAACUUUGGUAUGCUUGGACCUAGAGUCUUGAAACUUGACAUGAAGGUUGGCCAGAACUAGUAAGUAACCACUGGACAUUUCAAGGUCAUUCAUUUGAAGGUCAAGGUCACUGUGACCUUGAAUGUAAAAAUGUUAAAGUUCUUAUUUCAUGUUAUAACUUUGGUAUGCUUGUACCUAGAGUCUUCAAACUUGAAAUAAAGAUUGGCCAGUACUAGAAGAUGACCACUGGUCAUUUCAAUGUCAUUCAUUUGAAGGUCAAGGUCACUGUGACCUUAAAUGUUAAAAUGUUAAAAUUGUUAUAACUUUGGUAUGCUUGGACAUAGAGUCUUCAAACUUGACAUGAAGGUUUGCAAGCACACUUAGAUGACCACUGGUCAUUUCAAGGUCAUUCAUUCUAAGGUCAAGGUCACUGUGACCUUGAAUGUAAAAAUGUUAAAGUUCUUAUAACUUUGGUAGGUAAAAAUGUUAAAGUUCUUAUUCCAUGUUAUAACUUUGGUAUGCUUGUACCUAGUUUGUGACCUUAAAUGUUAUUGUUGUUCAUGUAUAUGCAUGCAUUCAAAACAUAACACAAGGUUUGCUCAUGCCUUGAAAAGUACUUACAUUUCAUUUUGACCUUUGAACAAUAUUUCAGUAAUUUAAGUAUUGCAUUGACAAAAACACGAAAGGUACUUUCCUGUCAUUUAAAUCAAAAAUCCGGCUUCAAUGCGGUCAUCUCCGACCGCGGAACUCUUGU